CCUUCCAGCAGGCUGUGCUUGCAGACGCCAUGGAGCCUCACUUGGGGAUUUUCUGAACUCUGUGGAUGUACAGUAAGAUGCAGUUGCCUGGGGGG
rfam:Neotoma lepida isolate 417 scaffold_4305, whole genome shotgun sequence.